GUAACAACUUUGUGAGGAUGCCUAUGGAGGCCCUAGACAAGCUGCUGGACAUUCUUGGUCCACACCUGCGUUAUCAGGACACAGUGAUGCGUCAAGCAAUCUCACCCACAGCCCGUUUGUUGAUCACAUUGUGGAUUUUUUUCAGCGUGAAUUCCUCUAGAAUUACUACGUGUGAACGCACCCUUAGAAGGUGACUGUGACUGCGGGGAAACUGAGGCGAGUGUGUCAAGUUACAAGAAGGGCACUAUAAAUUGUUAUCAAGGUGGUACCGCACACCAGAGAUGUUAUAUCACUGGGGCUUAUCUACCUCAAAAAUGUGCUGGAGAUGUCAUAAGAAUACAGGUUGGUAUGCUUCCACAUAUUUGGUGGACGUGCAAAGACAUUGCGGAGUACUGGAGGGAUGUCAGCUUCCAUAUCAACAAAAUCUUGGGUAAGAAAAUUACUCGUACAGCAACUCUGGUACUAUUGGGAUUGCCGAAUCCAAACUGUCCCAUGCAUAGGCGAUCACUUCUGGCACAUCUGUUAUCGGUGGCCAAAGCCUUGAUUCCCAUGCUGUGGAUGCAGACCAACACUUGGCAAUGGUUACAAAAAGUAGCUUAAAUUUGUCGUAUGGAGGAACUUUGGAGUUUAGAAAAAUGUGGUCACUAUGGUUGGCCUACAGGGACUCAGUAGUCAUCUAGAGGAGGAGGACCAUGGGGGCGA